UCUUCUUUUCAAUCGCUGUGCGGGACGUCCUGUCCCGGAUCAGAUUCGCCGUUUUUCUGGAGUGGCUGGCAUUUAACAUUGCAGUGUAAUUUCCACUAGCCGUCGAUAGUUAGGUCCUUCAAUAUGCUAUAUCGAUUUAUCAACCUCCAUCCCGGGGAGAUCAGUUAAAGUCAGUGUACAGAUCGGGACUUCUGGGCGCUGCUGUUGGCUGGGCCGGUUGCUCUAGGCUAGCUGCCAUCUGUCGCAGAUUUUCGACGCCAGUUAGCAAUUGCCUGCAAGGAAUGAAUAAAACGGUGUCGGCGGCGCGCAGCAAAUCCCUAGACAAAUGCUGUGUUCUGGACGGUCGUUCUGCGCUAAUCCCGCUGCUGGUGGAGGCUUCACUGUCUCUACCAGGUGUCGCCACUGGAACUCCUCCUGUUGCGCAAUCAGAACUUCCAG
ensembl:ncRNA asRNA:CR45163 antisense RNA:CR45163